GACUUCCUGACCUCUUCCUUUGUUUGGCCUUCAGUGCUUUUAAGAAGUCCGUCAACCUUUUAGCUUUUCAAACAGAAAAGUUUGUCUAAAUAAGCUGGUUUAUCAUAUCCCUGGAAAAGGAAAAAUAAAAAUUCUAUUUUUUCUAUUUCCUUAAUGGACUUAUAAUUACUGUUUAUAGUACAAAAAGUUGAUUUCAGAUACAGAGUUGCUAUUUUUUAAAAUUUCUUUUUCCAAUUUGUUAGUAAAAUUUGUUCUUUAAAAAAAUUUGUUUUUAAUUGGUGAAAAAUUUCUUUCCAAUUUUGUGUUGGUUUCUGCUGUACAGUGGGGCUUCCCCAAUUGCUCAGUAUCUGCCUGCUAAUGCAGGAGUGUGAAGUGUGAAAGUUGCUCAGUUGUGUCUGACUCUUUGCCCACCCCAUGGACUCCAUGGAAUACUCCAGGCCAGAAUACUGGAGUCGAUAGCCUUUCCCUUCUCCAGGGGAUCUUCCCAACCCAGGGAUUGAACCCAGGUCUCCCCCAGUGCUUUUGAACUGUGGUGUUAGAGAAGACUCUUGAGAGUCCCUUGGACUGCAAGGAGAUCCAGCCAGUCCAUCCUAAAGCAGAUCAGUCCUGGGUGUUCAUUGGAAGGACUGAUGUUGAAGCUGAAACUCCAGUACUUUGGCUACCUGAUGUGAAGAGCUGACUCAUUGGAAAAGACCCUGAUGCUAGGAAAGAUUGAGGGCAGGAGGAGAAGGAGAUGACAGAGGAUGAGAUGGUUGGAUGGCAUCACCGACUCAAUGGACUUGGGUUUGGGUAGACUCUGGCAGUUGGUGAUGGACAGGGAGGCCUGGCGUGCUGCGAUUCUUGGGGUUGCAAAGAGCUGGACACAACUGAGCGACUGAACUGAACUGAACUCCCCCAUUGCAGGCGGAUUCUUUACCAGCUGAGCCACAAGGGAAGUACAAGAAUACUGGAGUGCGUAGCCUAUCCCUCCUCCAGGGGAUCUUUCCUACCCAGGAAUCAAACCGGGGUCUCUUGCAUUGCGGGUGGAUUCCUUACCAGUCCCCUAUAAUGAAAAGGACAUCUACCUCAAACAAAAAUGGUCAGAAGACCUAAAUACAUUUUCCCAAAGAAGACAUACAGAUGGCCACCAGGCACAUGAACAGAUGUUCAACAUCACUAAUUAUUAGAGAAUUGAAAAUCAAAACUGCAAUGAGGUAUCACCUCACACCAGUGACAAAGGGCCACCAUAAAAAAGUCAACAAAUAAUAAAUACUGGAGAAGGUAUGGAGAAAAGGGAACCCUCUUAUACUGUUGGUGGGAAUGUAAAUUGGUGUGGCCAUUAUGGAGAACAAUAUGGAGAUUUCUCAAGAAAACUAAAAAUAGAGCUAUUAUAUAGACCAACAAUCUCAAUCUUAGAGACAUACUCCGAAAAGGUGAAAACUCUAAUGUGAAAAGGAACAUGCACCCUGAUAUUCAUAAUAGUCAAGACAUGGAAGCAACUUUUAAGUGUCAUUCACAUGAAUGGAUAAAGAUGUGUACACACACACACACACAUAUAUACAGUAUGAACUAUUAUUCUUCCAUAAAAAAUGAAGUAAUGCUAUUUAUAGCAACAUGGAUGGACCUGUUAUUGUUCAGUCUCUCAGUCAAGUCUUACUCUUUGUGGCCCUGUAGACUACAGUACAUCAGGCUUCCCUGUCCUUCACUAUCUCCUGGAGUUUACUCAAAUUCUUAAGAGUCAAUGAUGCUAUCCAACCAUCUCAUCCUCUCUUGCCCUCUUCUCCUCCUGCCC
ensembl:lncRNA